rnacentral:rRNA from 1 species
AUACAUGCAAGUCGAACGGGAUCCAAUCAGUGGCAACACUGAGGAAGAUCUAGUGGCGAACGGGUGAGUAACACGUGAGGAACCUAUCCCGGUCUCUGGAAUAACAGGUGGAAACACCUGCUAAUACCGGAUACCGCCGACGCCCCUCCUGGGGUGUCGACGAAAGAUUUAUCGGAUCGGGNCGGCCUCGCGGCCUAUCAGCUAGUUGGUGGGGUAACGGCCUACCAAGGCAUCGACGGGUAGCUGUUCUGAGAGGAUGAUCAGCCACACUGGGACUGAGACACGGCCCAGACUCCUACGGGAGGCAGCAGUAGGGAAUCUUGCGCAAUGGGCGAAAGCCUGACGCAGCAACGCCGCGUGCGGGAAGAAGGCUCUCGGGUUGUAAACCGCUUUCAGUAGGAACGAAAAUGACGGUACCUGCAGAAGAAGG